CCUACGGGGGGCAGCAGUGAGGAAUAUUGGUCAAUGGUCGGGAGACUGAACCAGCCAAGCCGCGUGAGGGAUGAAGGUACAGAGUAUCGUAAACCUCUUUUGUCAGGGAACAAAGGCGGGGACGUGUCCCCGGAUGAGUGUACCUGAAGAAAAAGCAUCGGCUAACUCCGUGCCAGCAGCCGCGGUAAUACGGAGGAUGCGAGCGUUAUCCGGCUUUAUUGGGUUUAAAGGGUGCGCAGGCGGUCUGUUAAGUCAGCGGUCAAAGCCCGGGGCUCAACCCCGGCCCGCCGUUGAAACUGGCAGUCUUGAGUUGGAGAGAAGUAUGCGGAAGGCGCGGUGUAGCGGUGAAAUGCAUAGAUAUCGCGCAGAACUCCGAUUGCGAAGGCAGCAUGCCGGCUCCACACUGACGCUGAGGCACGAAAGCGUGGGUAUCGAACAGGAUUAGAUACCCUAGUAGUC
rnacentral:rRNA from 1 species